GGAGGGCAAGUCUGGUGCCAGCAGCCGCGGUAAUUCCAGCUCCAAUAGCGUAUAUUAAACUUGUUGCAGUUAAAAAGCUCGUAGUUGUAUUUUUGCGUUAGCGGUUUGACCAUUUGGUUGGUUAUUUCGUUUUCGCUUUUGGGAAUUUCCCUUUUUACUUUGAGAAAAUUAGAGUGUUUCAAGCAGACUUUUGUCUUGAAUACUUCAGCAUGGAAUAAUAGAGUAGGACUUUGGUUCUAUUUUGUUGGUUAUUGAACCUUAGUAAUGGUUAAUAGGAACGGUUGGGGGCAUUCGUAUUUAACUGUCAGAGGUGAAAUUCUUAGAUUUGUUAAAGACGAACUACUGCGAAAGCAUUUGCCAAGGACGUUUCCAUUAAUCAAGAACGAAAGUUA
rnacentral:rRNA from 1 species